rnacentral:rRNA from 1 species
GAUGAACGCUAGCGAUAGGCCUAACACAUGCAAGUCGAGGGGCAUCACAUGAAGUAGCAAUACGGAUGGUGGCGACCGGCGCACGGGUGAGUAACACGUAUGCAACCUGCCUUCAACAAGGGGAUAACCCGUUGAAAGACGGACUAAUACCCUAUAACACAGGGGUCCCGCAUGGGAAUAUUUGUUAAAGGACAACCGGUUGAAGAUGGGCAUGCGUUCCAUUAGCUAGUUGGCGGGGUAACGGCCCACCAAGGCAACGAUGGAUAGGGGAACUGAGAGGUUUAUCCCCCACACUGGUACUGAGACACGGACCAGACUCCUACGGGAGGCAGCAGUGAGGAAUAUUGGUCAAUGGACGAGAGUCUGAACCAGCCAAGUCGCGUGCAGGAAGAAUGUCCUAUGGAUUGUAAACUGCUUUUGCAGGGGAAUAAAGUGCAUCACGUGUGAUGUUUUGCAUGUACUCUGCGAAUAAGGAUCGGCUAACUCCGUG